GCGCCGAUGCUCGGUGGGGUGAUGGUCAGCCUGUGGGGCUGGCAGUCGAUCUUCCUGGCGUUGACCCUGUUCAGCGUCGGUGCG
rnacentral:tRNA from 1 species